rnacentral:tRNA from 1 species
GUGGUGUUAGUUUAAUUAAAAUAGCGGCUUGUCGUGCCGCAGAUGCUUUUGUUAGCACAGCAUU